AGAGAGGGAAGUCUCUGAGCUGUGAGCUACCCUGAUUCUACACUGGGAAGUUAGGGGUAGAAGCACACAGGAGCCCAGCACUUACAGCCAGUGGCCCUGGGGGUCUCCUCCAGCUCCACCUCAUGACACCCCGUGCUGCUGCGUGACUGCUCCUGGUGCCAAGGCCACCGCUGCCAUGAGUCUGAAUGGCUAAUGCUGAGAUUAGCAGGGCCUCCCUUCUACUGGCCUGUCCUCCUGGCUCUCCUCCCUUUUGCCUCUUCUGGAUUUCAGGUAACAAAGCACCACAUUAGAUACUGAAGAUAGAAAUUUGCUUAAGAUAUGGUCUCAGCAUUCAACAGGCUGGUGUUCUGGUUGAGAAGGAGUACAUGGAUCUUUCUUUCUCCUACCCCUGGAGACUAACAAAGUCUCACUCUGCUGUCCAGGCUGGAGUGCAGUGGCGCGAUCUCGGCUCACUGCAACCUCUGCCUCCCAGGUUCAAGCGAUUCUCCUGCCUCAGCCUCUCAAGUAGCUGGGACUACAGUAUCCUGCAUAAAACUGCAUUAAAAACCAGUAACAUCAGACCCGGGAUGGGGACGGAAGGUCCAAAUCAGAACCUCCAUGGAAUGCAUCUCUACAUAUUUUCACAUCUGUUUUCAAGCAAGGAGCAAGACCAGCAAGAAAGUGAGGACUUCCUCUGAUGCACAAACCUGGGAUGUGCUGUGCAAAUCAGCUACCUGGGCUUCCCACCUGUGGAUGCUCACUGACCUGGGGCCGCACCAGGUGAUUUCAGGACUUCCUCAGAGAAAACCCAGGCAAGACACCAGCAACAGAGCUACCCUGAUAAUUAUUAAAUUAGCUCUAUGUGGAGAAGCCAUAUUUGAAUAAGUUAUUAGUGGAGGUCCUUUGUAAACCAUGCUCCAUUAUAUAAAUGGCAGAUGUCAUUAUUUAUACCCAGACUACUCCUUUGGAAGACAAAAGAGAAAUGAAUCUUACUUAGCCUAGAAUAGCA
rnacentral:lncRNA from 1 species